UUUAGGUCAAGUUUAAACGUGUCUUUAAACUUGAAUCUUUAGGCUGAGAUAUUCGAUUACAGAUGAACAGUUCUGUGUACGUGUCCAUUAGGAGAUUCUGAUUUAAUCUAUUUGCUGUUAAAAGUUAUUCUCUUUUAUUAUGUGAAUUAACAACAAUAUAUGUCAAUACCACAAGAAAUGAAAGAAAAAAAGUAGUUUAAAAUUGAAGAAUUUUUUUCUUUUAAAAUUGAUACUACUAAAAAAUAAUUGCAGAAAUUAAUUAUGCAGCAUAGAGGUUAAGUAAGCCAGAUUAGGUUAAAUUAUAUUAGAUUGUGUUUCAGUUAGAUUUACUUCAAUAAUGUUGAAUUAGAUUAAAAUUGUGUGUUCGUGCUAUGACUAGGUUAUAUUAGGUUAUGUUUGUAUUAAAUUUUGAUUGUACUAGUUAAGAUUAAAAAUGCAGAAUAUCUACUAAAAAAAUGAAUUAAAUCUUCAUUUCUUCGAAAAUGCUGAAAGAUAAACUGUGACAAAUAAACAUAAAUGAUUUUUAUCUGUGGGGCUGCAGCUUGAAUGAAAUGACAUCUUCAAUAAAUCAGAUAUCCUGACAGAAUUAAAAAACCUGGCACAUGAAAUUAUUGUACUGUAAAAUAUUCAUCAGGCAGAGAAAUAUGUUAAAAAGUUUUUACUUCUCUACGUAAAAUACAGAAAAUUAUUUGUCAGA